CAGCAGCCACGGUAAUACGUAGGUGGCAAGCGUUGUCCGGAAUUAUUGGGCGUAAAGCGCGCGCAGGCGGAUCAGUUAGUCUGUCUUAAAAGUUCGGGGCUUAACCCCGUGAGGGGAUGGAAACUGCUGAUCUAGAGUAUCGGAGAGGAAAGUGGAAUUCCUAGUGUAGCGGUGAAAUGCGUAGAUAUUAGGAAGAACACCAGUGGCGAAGGCGACUUUCUGGACGAAAACUGACGCUGAGGCGCGAAAGCCAGGGGAGCGAACGGGAUUAGAUACCCCUGUAGUCCCUGUCUCUUAUACA
rnacentral:rRNA from 1 species